CUCGAGGUGGGAGGUCCCCUCAGCCAGGUUGCAAGAAAGUGCAGGCCAGGCUGAGGGACCCCAGCAGUGCACG
rnacentral:pre_miRNA from 1 species